rnacentral:rRNA from 1 species
CUUGGUCAUUUAGAGGAAGUAAAAGUCGUAACAAGGUCUCCGUAGGUGAACCUGCGGAGGGAUCAUUACACAAAUAUGAAGGCGGGCUGGAACCUCUCGGGGUUACAGCCUUGCUGAAUUAUUCACCCUUGUCUUUUGCGUACUUCUUGUUUCCUUGGUGGGUUCGCCCACCACUAGGACAAACAUAAACCUUUUGUAAUUGCAAUCAGCGUCAGUAACAAAUUAAUAAUUACAACUUUCAACAACGGAUCUCUUGGUUCUGGCAUCGAUGAAGAACGCAGCGAAAUGCGAUAAGUAGUGUGAAUUGCAGAAUUCAGUGAAUCAUCGAAUCUUUGAACGCACAUUGCGCCCUUUGGUAUUCCAAAGGGCAUGCCUGUUCGAGCGUCAUUUGUACCCUCAAGCUUUGCUUGGUGUUGGGCGUCUUGUCUCUAGCUUUGCUGGAGACUCGCCUUAAAGUAAUUGGCAGCCGGCCUACUGGCUUCGGAGCGCAGCACAAGUCGCACUCUCUAUCAGCAAAGGUCUAGCAUCCAUUAAGCCUUUUUUUCAACUUUUGACCUCGGAUCAGGUAGGGAUACCCGCUGAACUUAAGCAUAUCAAUAAGCGGAGGAAAAGAAACCAACAGGGAUUGCCCUAGUAACGGCGAGUGAAGCGGCAACAGCUCAAAUUUGAAAUCUGGCUCUUUUAGAGUCCGAGKUUGUAAUUUGCAGAGGGCGCUUUGGCUUUGGCAGCGGUCCAAGUUCCUUGGA